CAAAAUUAAAUUAAAUCAAAUGAAUUGGUGAGGGUUCAUGGAUGAAUGUAGUUAGAGUUAAGCCUGGUAUACGUACUCCACUAAUAAAUACUCACAGACACUGUAUAGACAAGAAAUAACAUUUUAUUAUACUGUACAAUAUAUAUAUGUAUGUAGUUAUGCUUAGCACACAUAACUACACACAUGAACGAGUGCAUUCAUUUAUAAACCAUUACAUGUGUGCAGAUGUCCACGUCACACCUACUGGGAGAGCACUGGGAACCAUUAGAUUGUAAAGGAUCAAUAAAUAAUCAUGAACCAUGACAAAAACCUGGUGUAAAAUAAUAGUAAUAGUCAAUAAUAAUACAUUAGCAAUUUAUUGAUGGAAAUUGGCUCAAGUUAAGCCAAAAAAAUGCAUGAAAUUUGGGUUGGGAUGUAUGCAUCAUACUGUUGAGAAAAGGAAAAAUCUAAAUGUCAUAUUCCAUAAAUCAUCUUCUCCAUGUGUGAGCUGUGUCAGUCUGUACGAAGAACUGAUGAAGAAACAUCCCAGUGAUGAAGAUGAGCUUGGAUUCAGAUGGAAAGAUGCUGUGGAUGCUGGUGCUCCUGUCUGACAUUUUAUAGGCAUUAGUAUAGCGUAACAUCUACCUAUUUUUUUUUUUUAUUAAACGUGUAGUAUUUUUGCUUACAUUGUUUUGGUGAAUAGAAGUCUUUCUGUCCCCUGUUGAUGUUUCCUCAGGAUGCUGUGGAUACUGGUGCUCCUGUCCUCCAUCUUCAUCCUCCUCCUCCAUCAGUAGAUGCCAUUGUUCCAGUCCAACAUUUUACAGGCAUUAGUAUAAAGUCACCUCUAUUUUUACAUUAAACAUUAGUUCAGUGUCUUUCUGUGCCAAUGAGAGGCUUUACUUACAUUAAUUGUUUUGCUUUCUGUUGAUGUUUCCUCCUCAGGCAGCUGUGGAUACUGGUGCUAAUGUCCUCCAUCUUCUUCAUCCUCCUCCUCCAUCAGUGGAUGCUGGCACUCCUGUCUGACAUUUUACAGGCAUUAGUAUAGCGUAAUGUCUACAUAUUUUUUAUUAAACGUGUAGUAUUUUUGCUUACAUUGUUUUGGUGAAUAGAAGUCUUUCUGUCCCCUGUUGAUGUUUCCUCAGGAUGCUGUGGAUACUGGUGCUCCUGUCCUCCAUCUUCAUCCUCCUCCUCCAUCAGUAGAUGCCAUUGUUCCAGUCCAACAUUUUACAGGCAUUAGUAUAAAGUCACCUCUAUUUUUACAUUAAACAUUAGUUCAGUGUCUUUCUGUGCCAAUGAGAGGCUUUACUUACAUUAAUUGUUUUGCUUUCUGUUGAUGUUUCCUCCUCAGGCAGCUGUGGAUACUGGUGCUAAUGUCCUCCAUCUUCUUCAUCCUCCUCCUCCAUCAGUGGAUGCUGGCACUCCUGUCUGACAUUUUACAGGCAUUAGUUUAGCGUAAUGUCUACAUAUUUUUUAUUAAACGUGUAGUAUUUUUGCUUACAUUGUUUUGGUGAAUAGAAGUCUUUCUGUCCUCUGUUGAUGUUUCCUCAGGAUGCUGUGGAUACUGGUGCUCCUGUCCUCCAUCUUCAUCAUCCUCCUCCUCCAUCAGUAGAUGCCGUUGUUCCAGUCCAACAUUUUACAUGCAUUAGUAUAAAAUCACCUCUAUUUUUACAUUAAACAUUACUUCAGUGUCUUUCUGUGCUAAUGAGAGACUUUACUUACAUUAAUUGUUUUGCUUUCUGCUGAUGUUUCCUCCUCAAGCAGCUGUGGAUGCUGGUGCUCCUGUUUAACAUUUUACAAGCAUUAUUAUAAAGUCAAGUUUAUUUUUACAGUAAAGGUGUGUUCAGUAUUUUUACUUACAUUGUUGUGGUUGAUAAAGAGUCUUCUUUAGCCUCUGUCCUCUGUUGAUGUCUCCUCCUGUCCUCACUUGCUGGGAUUAAAAAGGUUAUCUCUAAUUUUUAACUCUAACCUAACUCAACCUAAUAUAUUAUGCAUGUUUUCAUAACAGUGACAGGACAACCACUCCAACUGUGGCCUGUCAUAAAGAAACAAAAAAUAAAAUCCUUACCAUUAAAAAAGUCCCGGUACCA
rnacentral:lncRNA from 1 species